rnacentral:lncRNA from 12 species
AUGAGUGUUUUGUUUUCUUCUCCCUUAUCAUUUAUCAUAAGAGUCACAGAAAAGCCUCUCUUCACACUGACUCACCCAGAGAAGUGCCCACAAAUGCCUUUCUUUCCAACCCAGUUCCCUCUUCAUCAUCAGACAUCCUUGAUUCUUCCUUCACAGGUGCCUCCAACCCUAGCCACAACUCAAUCCCUCAAUUGUGCUGUGAAAUUUCAUCAAGGCCUUUUGAAAAAUCUAGAGGACGAGAGGUCCAGUUGUAUGACAGUUCAGCCCCGGUAAAAAUAAGAGCAAGAGUUCCCGUGCCUAGGAAUCAAUCAUCGGAGUUUAACAUUUCUUUUGAAGCCACAGAGAAGCACCUCUACCACGUUUGAGCUUUGGGAGACGACUUUAAAGCCUUGGUAUAUGUUCAGAGUCAGGAAGUCUCUCCACUCCAGAACUGAGCUAUGUGGGCAUGUGAUUUAGUGGUCUUGCCCACAGCCUGGUCACGUCUCAGCCCACCUGAAGGUCUUUUAUAAAGACCACAUCUGCUGGGUUCCAGGUCUGUGGCUUCCCUUCGGUGCAGACCAAAGAACUUGGUUGUCAUCUCAGACUGGAUUCAUCUUUGAAAAGGAAGCAUUCGGAGAGAGAACAAUAACUUCCUGCAGUUUCUAGCAAGGGCCAGGUCCUUGAAAGAAAUAGUGUUACCCCCUCCUCCCCCGCAGAGGGCUUUGUGGGGAAACACAAAUGAGAAAGAUGUAUCCGAGCUACCAAAGUGGACUCUCUCUCCCUCUCUCCCUCUUUUCUCCUUUUUAUCUCAUUUCACUUUGGCCAUAAAACAGGAAUCAGACUGUAAAAAUUAAAGUCCCAUCUUAGCUUUAAUGAAGUCCAAUUUCAGUGCUGAUGAAAUACUUGACAGCAAUGUGUGCUGGUUUAGUCUUCACUGAAAUGGAUGAUCCACCAGAAUUUAUGGGAAAAUAACCCUUUCCAAGGAGCUAAUGGAAUAAUUUUUUAAAUCCCUUUGAAAAAUAAACCAGAAUAAUCACAGAUUCUAUAUUAGUAA